AGAGUUUGAUCCUGGCUCAGAACGAACGCUGGUGGCGUGCUUAACACAUGCAAGUCGAACGAGAAAGUUUCCUUCGGGAAAUUAGUAAAGUGGCGCAAGGGUGAGUAUCACGUGAAUAAUCUGCCCUCGAGGUCGGGAUAACAUGGUGAAAACUAUGCUAAUACCGGAUAAGACCACAUUUCAUAAGAAAUGCGGUAAAAGGAGUCUCAAUCUUCACUCGAGGAUGAGUUCGCGCAACAUUAGCUUGUUGGUGAGAUAAAAGCUCACCAAGGCUACGAUGUUUAGCCGGCCUGAGAGGGUGAACGGCCACACUGGAACUGAGACACGGUCCAGACUCCUACGGGAGGCAGCAGUGGGGAAUAUUGCGCAAUGGGCGAAAGCCUGACGCAGCAACGCCGUGUGAGCGAUGAAGGCUUUAGAGUCGUAAAGCUCUGUCAAAUGGGAAGAAUUUUGACGGUACCAUUAGAGGAAGCCCCGGCUAACUCCGUGCCAGCAGCCGCGGUAAUACGGAGGGGGCAAGCGUUGUUCGGAAUUAUUGGGCGUAAAGCGUAUGUAGGCGGCUAGAUAAGUCAGGCGUGCAAGCCCGUGGCUCAACCACGGAAUUGCGUUUGAAACUAUUUAGCUUGAGUACAGGAGAGGAAAGCGGAAUUCCCAGUGUAGCGGUGAAAUGCAUUGAUAUUGGGAAGAACAUCUGUGGCGAAGGCGGCUUUCUGGUCUGUUACUGACGCUGAGAUACGAAAGCCAGGGUAGCGAACGGGAUUAGAUACCCCGGUAGUCCUGGCUGUAAACGAUGGGCACUAGGUGCAGGAGGUAUCGAUCCCCUCUGUGCCGUAGCUAACGCGUUAAGUGAUCCACCUGGGGAGUACGUUCGCAAGAAUGAAACUCAAAGGAAUUGACGGGGGCCCGCACAAGCGGAGGAGCAUGUGGUUUAAUUCGAUGAUACGCGAGGAACCUUACCAAGGCUUAAAUGUAGAUUGACAGAUUGUGAAAACAAUUUUUCUUCGGACAAUUUACAAGGUGCUGCAUGGUUGUCGUCAGCUCGUGCCGUGAGGUGUCGGGUUAAGUCCCAUAACGAGCGCAACCCCUACCCUUAAUUGCCAUCGGGUUAUGCCGGGCACUUUAGGGGGACUGCCGGUGACAAGCCGGAGGAGGGUGGGGAUGACGUCAAGUCCUCAUGGCCUUUAUGACCAGGGCUACACACGUGUUACAAUGGGAGUUACAGAGGGAAGCUAAGCCGCGAGGCCAUGCCAAUCCCAGAAAAACUUUCUCAGUUCGGAUCGCAGUCUGCAACUCGACUGCGUGAAGCUGGAAUCGCUAGUAAUCGCGGAUCAGCACGCCGCGGUGAAUACGUUCCCGGGCCUUGUACACACCGCCCGUCACACCAUGGGAGCCGACAAGGGCAGAAGUCGCCGAGCUAACCUUCGGGAAGCAGGCGCCCAAGCUGUUGUUGACGACUGGGGUGAAGUCGUAACAAGGUAACC
rnacentral:rRNA from 1 species